CCUACGGGGGGCAGCAGUGGGGAAUAUUGCACAAUGGGCGCAAGCCUGAUGCAGCCAUGCCGCGUGUGUGAAGAAGGCCUUCGGGUUGUAAAGCACUUUCAGCGGGGAGGAAGGCGGUGAGGUUAAUAACCUCAUCGAUUGACGUUACCCGCAGAAGAAGCACCGGCUAACUCCGUGCCAGCAGCCGCGGUAAUACGGAGGGUGCAAGCGUUAAUCGGAAUUACUGGGCGUAAAGCGCACGCAGGCGGUCUGUCAAGUCGGAUGUGAAAUCCCUGGGCUCAACCUGGGAACUGCAUUCGAAACUGGCAGGCUAGAGUCUUGUAGAGGGGGGUAGAAUUCCAGGUGUAGCGGUGAAAUGCGUAGAGAUCUGGAGGAAUACCGGUGGCGAAGGCGGCCCUCUGGACAAAGACUGACGCUCAGGUGCGAGAGCGUGGGGAGCAAACAGGAUUAGAUACCCCGGUAGUC
rnacentral:rRNA from 1 species